CAAAGCAUGCUGCAAUGCAAAUUAAAUUUUUUUUUUCUUUCUCUUUUUGGUAAGCUGGCAGAGCUAAGUGUAAAUGAUGGUAUGUGAGUCUAUGGUGCUCUGUCUGGGUCAUCCCAUGCAUGACUGCCAGCCUGGUAUAGAGAUAGAUAGACAGUCAAGUAAGGAAAGUGUUUGGCCGUCUCACUGCCAUGCACUGUCUUUGUAUUCUAACAGAGAACUUUUAAUGGUUUAUGCAGGUGAUGUUGUGACUUAAUUUCAACAGUUGGUUAUACAAUAACAAAGAUCAGCUUCAGGUUUCCUUAAUAUCCUCUGGUAACAUAAAAGUGACAAGCCCAUCACUGGAGGCCGUAGCUGUAACCAUCUUGCAGGGCAGGUUCAUGUUGGUGUUAGUCAGCCAUUGUCACUAAGUCAGAAUUAGGGAUAAAAUAACUUGGGCUCCUAAAUCAAAGCAUCCAUAGCUAAUAUAUACAAUAUGACAUUUGGCAAACUAAAUUAUUCAUACAACAUACAUGGAUUUGGGAUGUUGAUAUUUGUACAAUAAAAAAAUACAGCAUCACUGAAAACACAUCAAAUUUCAAGUGCUUUGAUAGAAGAAUGUUAGCAAGUGAUGGAUGGUUCUGCCUUCUUCCUGCAUGUAUUUGCCAACUCCAUGUCUCCUUUAACUGCUAUGCUCUAGUAAAAAUACAAAAAAAAAAAAAAAAAGAGAACAAGGGGCAAAUUUUUGCCUUUUGAAAGCUACAUAAUUAUUUAAAAGACUGAGAGAGAAACAGUCUUAAUGAAGUGAAAGUGACCAUGGGAAAAAUUACCUAACAGUGAAAGAAUUCCUUUAGAGUCCUUUCCUGCUCUUAUUAUUUGUCUUCUUCUUCCAGACAUUCACACAACACUAAAUGUUAACAGGAAGUGGGGGAGAAAUGUCCCCCACCCUGGAUCCCCAACAGACUUGGGUACCUGUGGGAGUGUGGGGGUUUCAGUAGAGGCCAAAAGAACUGUUGCCCAGCCUAUUAACAGCCCUCCUACCAUAGUCAACCUGUACUGGAUGCAUCAGCAACUGACGUGUCUGAUUGUUACGAUGGUGAUGGGUGACUUGUACCAUUUCUAAAGAAAGCAUGUCAAUACAUGUGAAAUACAUGAUCAUCACUUCUGAUGCAGCACUCACCUGUGGGGAUCCAUGCAGGGAAGGCUGUGGCAGAAAUGUUGCCUAGAUGCUCUUGCCUCUCUACAGGUAACUUUCCUUCAUCCAUUACAUUUUCUUUUUUUCCUCUUGCUUCUCUACAGGUAACUUUCCUUCAUCCAUUACAUUUUCUUUUUUUCCAUCACUAAAAGAGGUCUUCCUCUUACAUUACCACUAAAUAUUUAAACAGUCUGUCAUCAUACAUUCACAUUCUCACACUAGGCUUUUACUAUCUCAAGAUACUCCAUAUCCACUUUUAUAUCUUCAAAAUUUAAUAAAACCCUCCCUCUUCCAUUCCCAUCACAUAAUUCUUUACUCUUAUGUAUGAAAAGUUACCACGAGGUGAAUGUUUAGACAGGUGUUCCAGUGGUCCAGGUGUGCAAUGAGACGCCUCAAAACAUGUGCAAUAAUCUCACCUGAGCUUUAGUAAGAAACACAACAUUCAAACAUCACAUGAUAACUACCCAAAUGACAUGAAUAACUCUAUUAAACUACUGAACUACUAAAGUUAUGGCUACUAAACUAGCAAUAACAUAACAUGAGCCCAUGAUCUUUGAACUGUUCUCAGGCUUUAGUUGAGACUCAUAAUUAACCUCAAACAUUCCUAAGGUUACUUGCAUCCAGCAGUGUAGUAUAUCAAUGGUAAGAUUUUCUGAGGCUACUUUAUCCUAAACUGUCACCUGAAAUGACCACCAGCAAAGGAAGGCUUUCACUGAUAUGAUCAUUAACUCCACAAUUUUUUGAUAGCACAAGAAAGUAAUUCAACCAUAUCCUUCUAUCUAUCUGUUUACCUACUUGGCUGGCAAUCUCACAUAAGGUGGCCUAGACAAGCACCACACACACACACACACACACACACACACACACACACACACACACACACACACACACACACA